GGGCGCCGGCCCCGACCAGUCUCGCACCUUUAGCCGGGCGCCGGGAUUUCGGUCGAGGGGCUCAGGAAGAGACGGACCCUCGGGGUUUUGCAUCCGUGCGGCUUGCAGUCCGCCCGGGAAGAGCCAGGUGGAAGCCGCGGCGCUCGCUUGGCUUGCGGGAGAUGCGGCGAUGUUGGUCGCGGGGAGAGAGUAAUAAGGACUCGAGGGCUGGCAGGCGCCCCGGGAUGGCUUCUGGCUCGCUGGGGCUGCAGACUUCAAGGCAGCCGGAGGGCCCUCGCCCCCCCCGCUGCUUCCCAGAGAGCCCAGCUCCUUCCUCAGCUAUCCCCUUCAGCAACGGGGCAAAACCCGAGGGGACUUCAGCAACCGCAGCAGAGCGCACGAGGAGGUGAACUAUGAUGACAGACUUGGAGAUGAAUAUGGAGCCCAGUAUACUAAUAGGCCUUUGCCUCAUUCCGUGCCCAGGAUGGAUGCGACACGUUGAAUAGGCAUCUGUAGUCUGACAGUUUGUCUGCAGAUUUGCCUGGAGCUGAAGAUACAUCUUUUGACUCUAUCCCUGCUCUGCCACUAAGUUCCUAUGUUAAGAUACUGGACUAGUCACUUAAACCAAAGCAAAGUGGGCACCAAGAGCCUCUUUUUUAUGUUGUGGGUGCCUGACUUGAGUCACUUGAAAUCUCAUUUGUGAAAGACCUAAGCAUUCAUUGCAUGCAACUGCGGCAGAAUGUUGCAAAAAUGCUCAAUAUUCUGAACAAGAUAGACACUCAGCAACUCAAACUUAAAAAUAGUAGACAGUUCUGGCCAUGAUCUCCCUGGACUUCUUUUCCUGUAUGCAAAAUACUUCUUCCAGCAUGAAGACAGCGUGACAGUUACAAGUACGUCUUUAGGAUAUGGUAUUUUUGAAGUUUCAAAUCCCCAUCAUGACAAAAAAAAUCCCAACUCACAGUUCUGAGAGGAGGACCUCCCAUACAGCUUACAUGUGUUCAGGUUGUCCUAGGUAGUUGCUUGAAUGAGCCAACUUUUGGCAUUUCUAGGUCAUUUGUACACUCAGUUUAACUGGGAAACCUUUCCCUGUCAGGAUUUCAUCAAAACUGAAAACUUCCAGCAAAGAGCUUCAGUUUUGACAGAACUUUUCUUGUCAGACAACUGCUUGGUUCACGUUUCCUGUCUGGGCUCCUGAGACUAUGGCAGGACUCUAGAAAGAGUCUACCUGUCCUGCUGUACAAGUUUCUGUUUUCAAAGGUAUUUGCUCUGGGUGAAGUCAAACUAGGCUUGCAAAGGCACCUCUUUCAUCUGAACUCUGCUAUACCAGCUAUGGAUGCUCCACUGCUGCUGCGUUAGUAGAGCAUGCUCACCUGGCUCAGGUUGUUGUGCCAUGCAACAGACACAAUCUCCUUGGUCUCCAAUAACUCUGGGCCACCUAUCCAACUUGCAAGGCCUUCAGAUUUGCCCAAAAGGGUGUGCUGCUUCUGACUUAAAGUAGCCAAUUGGUACAACAUUAUAUAAAACAUUUGAAUAAAGCUUCCACCUAUGUAAAUA
rnacentral:lncRNA from 1 species